UACGAAGGGUGCAAGCGUUACUCGGAAUUACUGGGCGUAAAGCGUGCGUAGGUGGUUCGUUAAGUCUGCUGUGAAAGCCCCGGGCUCAACCUGGGAAUGGCGAUGGAUACUGGCUCGCUAGAGUGCGGUAGAGGAGAGUGGAAUUCCCGGUGUAGCAGUGAAAUGCGUAGAGAUCGGGAGGAACAUCAGUUGCGAAGGCGGCUCUCUGGACCAGCACUGACACUGAGGCACGAAAGCGUGGGGAGCAAACAGG
rnacentral:rRNA from 1 species